AGAUAAUAGAUACCCUGGUAGUCCACGCUGUAAACGAUGGGUACUAGAUUUGGUGGGUCUUGACCCCCGCCGAAAUCGGCGCUAAACGCACUAAGUACCCCGCCUGGGAAGUACGGUCGCAAGACUAAAACUCAAAGGAAUUGACGGGGGCCCGCACAAGCGGUGGAUCAUGUGGUUUAAUUCGAAAGCAACGCGAAGAACCUUACCUGGGUUUGACAUCCCCUGACAGCUGUAGAGAUACAGUCUUAGUAGCAAUACUACAGGGAGACAGGUGCUGCAUGGCUGUCGUCAGCUCGUGUGGUGACAUGUUGGGUUAAGUCCCGCAACGAGCGCAACCCUUGUCCUUAGUUGCCAGCAUUUAGUUGGGCUCUCUAAGGAGACUGCCGUGGUUAACACGGAGGAAGGUGGGGAUGACGUCAAGUCCUCAUGGCCUUUAUAUCCAGGGCGACACACGUGAUACAAUGGACGGUACAGAGGGAUGCCAAGUGGUAACACGGAGCUAAUCUCAAAAAGCCGUUCUCAGUUCGGAUUGGAGUCUGCAACCC
rnacentral:rRNA from 1 species